AUUGAACGCUGGCGGCAGGCCUAACACAUGCAAGUCGAACGAGUGGCGGACGGGUGAGUAAUGUCUGGGAAACUGCCUGAUGGAGGGGGAUAACUACUGGAAACGGUAGCUAAUACCGCAUACCAUCGGAUGUGCCCAGAUGGGUUUGGCUAGUAGGUGGGGUAAAGGCUCACCUAGGCGACGAUGCCUAGCUGGGCUGAGAGGAUGACCAGCCAAACUGGAACUGAGACACGGUCCAGACUCCUACGGGAGGCAGCAGUGGGGAAUAUUGCACAAGGGGCGAAAGGCUGAUGCAGACAUGCCGCGUGUAUGAAGAAGGCCUUCGGGUUGUAAAGUACUUUCAGCGGGGAGGCGGGAACAGAAGAAGAAGCACCGGCUAACUCCGUGCCAGCAGCCGCGGUAAGAG
rnacentral:rRNA from 1 species